AUAUUAUUACUUUUUGAAGUAUGCCUAAUUUUGCAUUGUAAUAUUUUUUUAAUUAUUCUUAGUUAGGUCUCUUUUUUAAAAUAAUGCAAUUUUUAAUUACUCUGCCAAAUUCAUCACUAAUGGGUUCCCUAUACAUUAAAAAGCUAGCUUUCUUCUGCAUGUUUCCAUUUCUUUGUUAUGUUCUUAUGAGCUUGCAAAUCUGUAAGCACUUUUCGCCAUUUGCAGGCCAGUGAGGGAGGUCAGGAUGUUUAUAAAGACCUGGAAUUCCAAAAAAUUCAUUUUGUAUUUUAGUUUUGAUUACUACCACUUAAGCGUAAUGACAACAUCCAUCCAGUUAAAAGUCCAGCUUCAUUGGAAAUAUUUUUUUUUUCCAGGGAAACACUGCUAAUAAAAAAUGUAUGAGCAAUGCUUUCAUAAGUAAAACAAAAAGAAAAAGGAAGCAGUGCUCAGCUGUCCUGCAGCAGUCGGAAGCAGUUGAGUUGCACCAGUCCUGGUGCACGGUGGUUAAGUUACCUAUGCCAGGAUUGCUUCAGUGCCCUUGGGUGCCACCAGCAACUGGGGAAAUUAUUGGAAACUGACCCUCAGAAGAACUGCACAAGAAUUAAUCCAAACUGCACUGUGCCUGGGAAUCACAAUAGGAAGGCUUCUCUAGCAUGUGGUCAAAAUUUAUGGAGAUAACUCAAAUACCGAUUCUUUUUUAAAUGUUUAACUGGUCACUUAAGGAAGCCCCAAAUAGGUUGUAUUUGACAAAAUGCCAGUUUUUUCACUGCAAAUUUCAACAUUUGGGUUAUUUUUUAAAUUGCCUACUUCUUUUGUUUAAAAUAAAAGACACAUCCUCAAAUCCUGAGAUGUGUAGAUUUACUCAGAUUUACAUAGAUUUUUCUAAAAAAUCCUUCAAUGGUGAUGGAAAGCACUCUUAUUUUUAGAGGAGUUUGAGUCUGAGAAAGAAAACUUGUUAUAUUUGAAAUCUUCCCUCUAGAAACUUUCCUCUCUAGAGGUAAUCUGAGAGAUGGGCAACACACAAACCCACAGUGAAGAGAGGAGAAAAAUCAGACCUAUAUUCUAUGGAGAGAGAGGGUUAAAAAAGAGCAAGCAGUUGGAAUUAUGUUGGGGCAUAUCAUAGGACAGAAAGCAGGUGAUAACUUUAGUAGAUGGAAGCAGAUCUGCUCUACUCUCACUGAAAUCCAGUGGAGGAAGCUGGCUGGGAAUGGCCAAGCACAUCUCUUGACAUAUCUCAGUGUAUAAGAAAUUAAAAUGAAGCCUAAAAAUAUUCAGACAUAAAUUAAAUACUCAUAGCCUUAUGUCUAGCAUAGAGACAGAAGAAUGGAGAAUCUGUCUGGCCACUUCUUCCUCUUUCCUAGGUCAUAAGCACCUGUGUCACAAUCACAGACAUAAUGUGGCAUAAUGUUUAAUCACCUUUUUCUCUCUCUGAAGGAAACUGACACUUGGAAAAGCAAGGAGUAGUCUUAUGUCACCUUUAUGGUCUGAAAACAGCAGGAUGUGAUACUAUGCAGCAGCUAUUUUAAAAACUUUUAAAAUUGUGCGGGUUUGAAUGAUUUGUGCUUUACUGGCUCUUCCCUUAAUACUUUUUUUUUUCUCAAAAGUAAAGAGAGGUAGUAGUAUCAGAAGCAAAGAGUAGAACUAGUAGUGGCAGACUAAAAACUGAACUUCUGCUUGCUCUGGCAGCCAGCAGACAGGAUGUCAUGAGAAGUUGUGGAUGCCCCAUCCCUGGAAGUGUUCAAAGCUGGGCUGGAUGGGUCUUUGAGCAACCUGGUUUAGUGAGAGGUGUCCCUGCACAUGGCAGACAGAUUGGAAUGAGAUGAUCCUUAAGGGCCUUCCCAACCCAAAUCACUCUGUGAUCCUGUGAUUCAUGCAGGGUGCUCUGAAAGGCAAAGGGCCACAGAGACUGGUAAGUCUUGGAUGCCAGCCUCCCGAAAGCACAGGGACCAUCCACCCAGAACUGCAGGAAAAUGGGUGUGCACAGCAGGCAGCCAGACUGGUUGAACAGGAAACUCCUAACUCAGCUCAAAUGUGACAAGGAAGUGUGUGGGGCUGGAAGUGGGGAUGGGCUGAGCAGUAGAAACAGAAGUUUUGUGGCCCUACAGGGAUGGAGUUGGGUGUUGCUGCUGCAUAUUACCAGACAGGUGUCAAAUCCACAACCAUGGAAAUUUAAAAAAAAACUUGAAUGCAUAAAAUCCUGAGCAACCUGACUGAACUUUCCAACCUAAAUUACUAAUGAUUCUAUGUUCUUUACAGAAAUCAGAGUUGAACAGGCCAGCCUAGACGACUUUCCUCAAGGCACUGUCCAUUUGAGCUUUUACUCUACAGAAAGGCUGCUUGCCAUUUUAACUUAAUCAUAUGAAAUGAACUUAACUUAAACUUAAUCCUUACUGUUUCGUUUCUGGCAGUCUUUCUUUUCAAUUUGUGUGACAUAUAUGUACCAGUAUAUGCAUUUCUUUCUUGAAAAGGAUGUCAGUUUUCAAAUCAGGAUCUGCAUUGUUAUGAGGAAUUAAAGAUGAAAUAAAUUAACAUCCUGAUUAAAUGUAGGGCAUAAUUGAUUUUUUUCUAAAGAAAUACAGGCUGAAGUCUACCUUUUUGUUGUUUUUUUCUAUGUGCACAAGCAGUUUAUAAAUGUAUAAUGUGAUAUUUUGUAAUGAGAGGUACUUCAAGUUCUUGUUAAAAAAUGCCUCAUUUUGAAUAUUGGUAGUUGUUAAAAAAAAUUUACAGAUGUUUUCUGAUAGCCAGUCACAUCAGAAGAAAAAAAAUCCAUGUGUUGCUAGCAUGAUGAAAAAUAAUAAAGAAUAGCAUGAUGAAAAAUAAGAAUAGCAAGAGUAACAGGAAUUUUCUACAACAAUCACUGCACUUUUUGUGUAAUAUUUUAUAUAAAUGAAUGGAUCUAAAAAUAUUUAUAGUAGGGAAGUGAACUAGAUGACUUCUUGAUUGCACUUCCUGUAAAAUAUUUCUGUGAUUUUUUUUGGUCAGGAUAUCCCAUUAUUACAAAGGUAAGCCCAGGGCUGAGAAGCCUUUCUGCAUAAGCUCAUGCAUAUUGAAUAUGGUGAGGUCUCUUUAGUUAGUUCAUUGUAUUUAGCUGGAAAAGAUCCAAUAAAGAAGGCCUAAGUGCAAAAACAUGAUCUGGUAGUGCAGCUGGACUGAUUUGAACAAGCUCUCUUUUUCAACUUAAAAUUUGUUUCUUAAAAGGAUACGGAAUUAAAAUAGGUGUUACCAGAUGUUAGCAUUAUAUAUUUAAAUUCAAAAAAUAUAGCAAAAUUGAGUCCUUCUUAAAGAAAGAAGCAAAUACUGAACAAAGGGUUUGGCAUUCAGCUGUUAAAAAGUAACUCUGAGUAUCCACAUGUUUUUAAAGGCUUGAAUUCCAGCAUUACAGGAGUGUGAACGUUGUUGAGGACUGGAUAUAGUAUCAUUCUAGUGAUAAGUCUAUUUGCUGCUUUUUGAAAAAGAAUUUUCCACUAAAAUCAUGGGUUCCAGAUUUCCUACAUCCCUUGCUUUCCUCAAAUAUUUUGAGGGCUCCCAUCAUCUUAAUAUAAGCUGUGAAAGGGAUGAUUUGGCCCUGGGACUACAUAUGCAGCAGUUCCUAAGACACUUCAGACAGCUGGUAGUUUGAAAACCAUAAUUUGAAAACUCUUAUGUGAGCAAAUAAUCAUGUUCUCCAGUUACUAAAUUAAUUUAAUGAGCCACCUUGUAAAAUUACACUGCAAGCCAUUCCUGAU
rnacentral:lncRNA from 1 species